rnacentral:tmRNA from 2 species
GGGGCCGACCUGGUUUCGACGGGGGUUGCGAAGCGGAUGAGGGCAUACCGGGAUUUCAGUCACCCCGUAAAACGCUGAAAUGCAAUAGUCGCAAACGACGAAACUUACGCUCUGGCCGCUUAAUUGCGCCAGACACUGCAACGGUUCGCUGAUGGGCCGGGUGGGUCAAACCACUGCAGUGUCACUUUACAUCAGCUAGUCCCGAGCCGGGUUACCUGACCCGGGGCGAAACUCUAGGUAACUCGCCAAUGUCCAGCCUGUCCGUCGGCGUGGCAAAGGUUAAAUCCAAAUGGCGAGACUAAGUAUGUAGAACUCACUGUGUAGGAUUUCCGGACGCGGGUUCGAUUCCCGCCGGCUCCACCA